GUGAGUUUACCAAAAAACCACAAAAUUCAGUUUAUUCCAAUUUUGCCCCUCAGACUCUCAGAUGCUUCAGAGACGGAAAGGGCUUUGAAAAAUUAGAAACAUUGCGCUAUUCUCUUACUAUCGCUUCAUCUUACCACUGCUUUCCUUUAUCUUCGUCUGUAACUUUCUUGUUCCUCUCUCUCUCGCGCUCUCUCUGACAUAUAUAAAGGUAGGGGGAUAUGGCGAUUGCAGUGGCGACUCAGCCACACCAACUCAAGGUAACAAUAGAAUAAGACAAUUUUGGCAAAAUCAAAAACUAUUGAACUUUUGGAUUUAUAUUGAAAAUUUGUCGCAAGCUUAAGGAUUUUAGGAUUUUAACCUAUUGAAUUAUCAGUAUUCUCUUUUAUUCGAUUUCAAUAUUGCGAUGAGCUUGAAUUUGACAGAUUUGUGGCAUCCCUUUUGGAGCAAUAAAUUUUUUCUCCAUUUCCAAUUUGAGGUAAACAAUUAGUACUACUUUUUUUAUUUCAGCUUAAAUGACAGGUUUUUGGAGCAGAAUUUAGUAUACAUUGGAAAAUUAGCGAAAAAUCUUCAGUUACCUGAGUUCUAAAAAGGAGUUAGGGUUGUGGGUUAGGGAUUUCUCAUGGAAAUGUUUUAGAACAAAAUGGGAUGUUGACUUUCUCCAGCUCUGUUAUGAAAAACGUUUUUGAAAAAAAAUACCUUUUUUUGGGGUGUAAACUUUUUCUUUUUGUAAACUGGGUUUAUUAGGAUUUUUAACUUCUGCAGGGUCUUCUGACGGCAUAGUGGUGGAUAACCUGAGAUGGACUCCACUGAUUUUCACAUUAGAAAGCCCCUUGGAAGAAGAAAAUCUGGUCAUGUUUAUUGGUGAGCUUGAAGUUUGUGUGGAGGUAGUUCAGUAUGUACAGUAUUUACAGGAGACGGCACAUAAGUAUAAGGCAUUGUAUCAACCUUGGGGGACUUGGAGCCUACAAAAUUUAUGCCAUGGGUAAAUUCUAUACCUACAUUUAUAACUUCCCUAUUGUAAUUAAUAUUGACUCUUCUAAAACAAAUUUACUCUUGCUUCAGUUUGUUAAAAUAUUACAGUUUUACAUCAAUUAGGAAUGAUUUGAUUAGGUAUUUUCAUUGUGUAAUUAUACGCCUACUAAAAUUGUACGUACUGGAUUACUUUAAAUCCCAACCAAGCUUGGCGGAAAUAAUCAAGCAUUUCAGUGCAAUUCUUCAGGGGGAGUUCACGAUAGGAAGCGACACAUUUAGCAUUCAGAGUACUUACUCUUAAGGGUGAGUAAAUUACAUUAAUUUUAGAGUUUGCAGAAUUAAAUAAAGUGUGUAGCCUCUGUAUAUCUGGCAAGUUUAUUAGGUGUCUACUGAAGGCAUUUGCUUGCUUUUCUUUUGUUAGUCGUUGCAUAUGUAGCUUUGAUAUUUUAAAGGCUAUAGUUCUAAGGUAGUGUUCUGUCAUAGAAUGAUGUUGCAUGAAGAAAUGUGGUAAUAUCUUGAGUCCCUUAUGUAUGCCUUUUUUGUUAUGUUAAAGCUUGUGUAUCUCUCAUUUUAUCAGUAAUUUGGAAUUUUUAACAAUUGUCAUGACUGCUUUAUAUAAUGCUUAAGCCAGCAGGUUGAGUAUCAUACUGUGAAAUCAAAACUUUCCUUGUUUACUUCUUGGGGCCUGGGAGAACUGUGAAUCAAUUCUUAGCUCACUGAUCUAGCUCACUUUUCUUAAUAAACAUGCAGCUUUAUAAUAAUAUUGGAGUACCAAAAUAUCACCUCACACUGGAGAGAGUAAAAUACAACAACUUGAGAAAAUAUUUAUAAAGAAAAAUAGUUCAAAAAUAAGAAAUCAGUUAGACAAAUCUGCUGCAGAAUUUAUUCAUCUAUAAAGGCAGAGGAUUCUGUCAUAAAAUAAAAGGGAAAAGUGAAAUGGUUAACAGCUGAAAACUCUAACACACUUUCCUUUUUAUCAUGUUUUGGUAGGUAUUUCGAAUCACGUUUAGCACACCUUUUAUUAGGUAAAAAGUUCUGAUACUUUACCGUAAAAAUUGACACAUUGUGGGAUGCUAAAGCUCAUUUUCCAAAAGACUUCAGAGCAGAAGUAUCGUUAUUCUUUUAGAUUCACUUUUCUAUUUUUUUUAAUGUUCUCUCUAUAUAGAAGCUUGAUACAAUUUACUAUUAUGCUCGGGAUAAACAUUCUUUCUCCACAUAUGGAUGCUGCUGCUCCAGUAGUCCGUGUUGACUUGUCCUGUUUUGAAGAAAAGGAUGGUCAUCCAGUGGGCGCAUUUGCUAAAGUUUAAGAAAUACUUAUAUGUGCGAAUUAGCCAAUCAAAAAGGAUUAUGAUGCUUGCAGUAUGCUUCAAUGCAUCACUGCAUCAAAUUUGAUCCUGGAAAAGUUGGAAAGUUGGAAUCUUAGCUCGAGACUAGACACAGGCAUGCUUAUCGGUCAAUUAACUUUGGAGAAGCCUCAAGAGAGGCAAGGACUUGCAGCAUUGGAAAAUAAUAAUGAGGACUUGCAGCAUUAGAAAAUAGUAAUGAGGACUUGUGUUAGUCUACUUUGGAGCAGCAAGUCGGUCAUCCCCCAAAAUGGUCCUCCGAAACAUUACCAUGGCAACAUACUCAGCAUGUCAAGAGAAUGAAAAGAACUCUAGCAGUUACAAAUUUGUAAUUGAAAGUCUGAAAGUUGGCCAUGAUGAUUGUUAAGGAGCUAAUUUUGAUAAACCUUGUAUUGUAUCUCUUAUUUGAAGAAAAUAACUCUCUUGGUUUGGUCAGUUGAAAUGGACCGCAUGGUCUUAUAUGCAUUAGACUUGAGAAUAAUUGAUGCAACAAGGAUUUCUACUGGA